rnacentral:rRNA from 1 species
CGAACGCUGGCGGCGUGCUUCACACAUGCAAGUCGAACGGUGAAGCGAGUGCUUGCACUCGUGGAUCAGUGGCGAACGGGUGAGUAACACGUGAGUAACCUGCCCAUCACUCUGGGAUAAGCACUGGAAACGGUGUCUAAUACUGGAUACGACCAACCCUUGCAUGGGGUGUUGGUGGAAAGAUUUAUCGGUGAUGGAUGGACUCGCGGCCUAUCAGCUUGUUGGCGGGGUAAUGGCCCACCAAGGCGACGACGGGUAGCCGGCCUGAGAGGGUGACCGGCCACACUGGGACUGAGACACGGCCCAGACUCCUACGGGAGGCAGCAGUGGGGAAUAUUGCACAAUGGGCGAAAGCCUGAUGCAGCGACGCCGCGUGAGGGAUGACGGCCUUCGGGUUGUAAACCUCUUUCAGCAGGGAAGAAGCGAAAGUGACGGUACCUGCAGAAGAAGCACCGGCUAACUACGUG